AGGGGCGUAGCUCAAUUGGUAGAGUCCCGGUCUCCAAAACCGGUUGUUGUCGGUUCGAGUCCGGCCGCCCCUGCCA
rnacentral:tRNA from 1 species